GCCCUCGUGGGCCAGUGGUUAGGCCGCAGCCCUCCGGCAUUCUCUGUCGUUUGAGAGGCUGAAGACCCGGGUUCGAGUACGCGUGGGUG
rnacentral:tRNA from 1 species